rnacentral:rRNA from 1 species
CCUACGGGUGGCUGCAGUCGGGAAUUUUGGGCAAUGGGGGCAACCCUGACCCAGCAACGCCGCGUGAGCGAUGAAGGCCUUCGGGUCGUAAAGCUCUGUCGGGAGGGAAGAAGGUCCUCGGGGUGAACAAUCCCGGGGGCUUGACGGUACCUCCAAAGGAAGCGCCGGCUAACUCCGUGCCAGCAGCCGCGGAAAUACGGAGGGCGCAAGCGUUGUUCGGAAUCACGUGGCGCGGGUGUGGUGUAGGCGGGCCUAACACCGGAACUGCACUCGAAACUGCCUCGCUCGAGUCCCGGAGAGGAUGGUGGAAUUCCCGGUGUAGUGGUGAAAUACGUAGAUAUCGGGAGGAACACCAGCGGCGAAGGCGGCCAUCUGGACGGUGACUGACGCUGAGACGCGAAAGCGUGGGGAGCAAACAGGAUUAGAUACCCCAGUAGUC